AUGUUUUCAGAUAUAAUCCGCAAGAUGGCAGCUAGUCAAUAUUAUCACAUACAGUGCACGCCUACCGUAUACCCGGCCGAACCAUUCGAUCCCGAAGAAGAUGCCAACCUCCUACGAACCGCCAUGAAGGGCUUUGGUACUGAUGAGCAAGCCAUCAUCGACGUUCUGGCUCAUCGAGGUGUCGUACAGAGAUUGGAAAUUGCAGACAAAUUUAAAACAAUGUACGGCAAGGACCUUGUUUCCGAGUUAAAAUCGGAGCUUUCCGGAAACUUUGAAAAAGUUAUCUGCGCCCUGAUGACGCCUCUUCCCGAGUUAUACGCCAAAGAACUGCACCACGCCGUUUCCGGUAUGGGUACCGACGAAGACGCGCUCAUCGAGGUUCUCGCGUCUCUGAGCAAUUACGGUAUCAAAACGAUAUCGGCCAUCUACAAGGAUUUAUACGAGAAGGAACUGGAAGAUGAUCUCAAGAGCGACACUUCCGGCCACUUUAAGAGGCUUUUGGUGUCAUUGUCUUGUGCCAGUAGAAACGAGAAUCCCGACGUUGACGAGGAGGCUGCACUUGAGGACGCCGAAAGGCUCAUGGCCGCUGGUGAGGGACAGUGGGGUACUGACGAAAGUACUUUCAAUGCGAUUCUAAUUACUAAGAGUUAUCCGCAAUUACGAAGAAUCUUCAAGGAGUACGAACGCAUCGCCGGACACAGCUUGGAGGACGCUAUAAAGCGAGAGUUUUCAGGCUCUCUUGAAGAUGGCUACCUAGCCGUCGUAAAAUGCACCCGUGAUAAGACAGCUUAUUUCGCGGAAAGAUUAUACAAAGCCAUGCGUGGAAUUGGCACGACAGAUUCGACGUUGAUACGCAUAAUUGUAACGCGUUCGGAGAUCGAUCUAGGCGAUAUUAAAGAAACUUACGAGAGACUCUACGGCAAAUCUCUCGCGGAAGCCAUUGAUGAUGACUGUUCAGGCGACUACAAGAGACUCUUGCUUGCUCUUCUCGGAUGAAACUAUUUCUCGAUUGCGCGACAGCUCCUUUCUACCAAAAAUUGCACUUCCAUGUCGCGAAUUAUAUAUCAUAUACAGUAUAACAAUGUCUCGUGACCUCAACUAAUUUAGUUUCUUAUGUUUUGCGCUAAGCGUCAAUGAAUGAUUGCAACGCUGAAAGGAAAAGACUGCUGAUAGCAAUGCUGAAUUAAAAAUAUCCAACAAAACAAUUAUAAUAUACAAUAUAGGAUAAUAAUGAAGGGUAAAAGUAACAACACAUAAUAAAAAUGAAGAAAAAAGGAAAUUUAGUAUAUCAUAACUAUUCUUUUUAUUUCUUCUUUUAUCUCUCAUUUCAUGCAUAAUAAAUUUACAAAAGACAUGCACACAAUGAAUAUUUACAAAUAAGGGAAGUUGUAAUUAUUGCAAUGACACAGUAGUGUGCCUUGUAUGAGCAUAUACAGACAUCAUCGAUAAUAAUCACUAUAUGCUGAUCAAAUUUUUAGACAAAACUUUACUCAUGUACUCACUGUGAUUGGCUUUGAAUAAACAUGUAGCGAUA